UCUGUCAUGCUCUUUGUGCUCCUGCUCGAGACAGAAACUUUUAGAUAUUUGUACUGAUUAUUGGUACCGGCACUGAUCGUAUUUAUUCUCAAUUGUUCCAGGUUAAUCAUCUAGGGAAAGUAACACCUGAUCACAGGGUAUCAAAGUUAGUAGAUGUAUGUAAAGUUAUGUAGCUUCGUCAAACAAAUGUCAGUUUUUACAUGUUGGUCAGUUAUGUAGCUGCUCUCCAAUGACCUUUUCAACUCAACAUGCCGUCGGUCAAAUAUCCAUGGAGGACACGAAACAAAUCAAAAAGAAAUUAGCAAUCUAUUAAAUCCAAAUAUUUCUCUGAUUUACUGCUUUCAUUUUUGUGGAACCUAGCAUGUGAAAUGUUCAUGUGUUCUUACUUGAGCGCCUCUUGUGGUUUUAGCAAUGGAGUUGGCUCUAGCUCUUGAAAAGAUGGUGAACGAGAAGCUGCCCAACCUGCUCAUUGUAAGUUUUUCCUUCUUGCCUGUUUAUAUAAGGAAGUUACUUUCAAGGUAUUUGUGUGCCUGUUCAACACAUUGAAUUCUUUAUUGAGUGCAACUAGGAGAUUGUGGCGGCAGCGGGGGUUUUGUGUC
rnacentral:lncRNA from 1 species